rnacentral:rRNA from 1 species
AACGAACGCUGGCGGCAUGCCUAACACAUGCAAGUCGAACGAGACCUUCGGGUCUAGUGGCGCACGGGUGCGUAACGCGUGGGAAUCUGCCCUUCGGUUGGGAAUAACUGAGAGAAAUUUCAGCUAAUACCUUAUAAUGUCUUCGGACCAAAGAUUUAUCGCCGAGGGAUGAGCCCGCGUAGGAUUAGGUAGUUGGUGGGGUAAUGGCCUACCAAGCCGACGAUCCUUAGCUGGUCUGAGAGGAUGAUCAGCCACACUGGGACUGAGACACGGCCCAGACUCCUACGGGAGGCAGCAGUGGGGAAUAUUGGACAAUGGGCGGAAGCCUGAUCCAGCAAUGCCGCGUGAGUGAUGAAGGCCUUAGGGUUGUAAAGCUCUUUUACCCGGGAUGAUAAUGACAGUACCGGGAGAAUAAGCUCCGGCUAACUCCGUG